rnacentral:rRNA from 1 species
GAGUUUGAUCUUGGCUCAGAUUGAACGCUGGCGGCAGGCCUAACACAUGCAAGUCGAGCGGCAGCGGGAAAGUAGCUUGCUACUUUUGCCGGCGAGCGGCGGACGGGUGAGUAAUGCCUGGGAAAUUGCCCAGUCGAGGGGGAUAACAGUUGGAAACGACUGCUAAUACCGCAUACGCCCUACGGGGGAAAGCAGGGGACCUUCGGGCCUUGCGCGAUUGGAUAUGCCCAGGUGGGAUUAGCUAGUUGGUGAGGUAAUGGCUCACCAAGGCGACGAUCCCUAGCUGGUCUGAGAGGAUGAUCAGCCACACUGGAACUGAGACACGGUCCAGACUCCUACGGGAGGCAGCAGUGGGGAAUAUUGCACAAUGGGGGAAACCCUGAUGCAGCCAUGCCGCGUGUGUGAAGAAGGCCUU